GCCGACGGGAAGGAAAAGGUCGCUCAAGCAGGUGGAGAACACGACUUCGGAUUGGUGGAUGGGUGGGCGGAUCACCUCUUUACUGGGCUCAAAGCUUAUGGUGACUGCCAGCAUACCUUGACUUGUGACUGCACAACUUCAAUCUUGAAGGAAGAUCCUUUCUCUGCUGUUUUCCAUUCUACUCUGUGUUCCAGAGGAGCAGAGGCGGCUAGGAGGCUGACCUCAGUGGACUCCAUCAAUGGGAUCCCUUGUCUUCUGGCUUUGGGUUCAGUUAUUUCUGGGAUCAGAAGAUCAGCAAGCAGGAGGAGAGGGAGUUCAGUCUUCAUUUCUCCCAUCUUCCUUUCUGGUGGUUGCUCCAGGCUGACUGAGUUUGUCCACUGAGGAAUACAGCUCCUGUUGCAUCCGCAGAGAGAAGAAGCUGCCCAAGAAUGGAAAGGAAGAAAUAUAUCACAUCAUCUGUCUGUCCACAGGCUUUCCUUGGGGCUUAUGAAGAUUUUGACAUUAUUGAAAUUAUUGGAAUUACUUUGAGGAACUGUGCCUGUUGAGUGUCUUAUAUGCACUGAGGAACUUGCCCCAU